UGCCCACAAUGCUCGCUGCGCUGCCCACACAAGGAGUUGCAGAAGAAGUGCUACUUUUUCUCCUCCCUAAAGGUGACCUGGAAGAAGGCCUGGAGAUCAUACAUUGGCCGCAGUGCAGACCCGGCUGUCCUCAACAAUAAGUUGGAACAGGAAGGUCCCCACCCUCCUGCCCCUCCAGCAAUCCACACCAACCCCCUGCCCUCCUGCAAAGGCACAAAAGGAGUUACACCUAGCAAGGGAUGUACAAGACAAUAAGAAGGGGAUCUAGACACACAGCAAGAGAAAGAUGAAGGAAAGUGGAGGUUGUCUACUUAGUGCAGAAGGAGAGUGAAUAACUGGUGACAUCAAGAAGGUUGAAGUAAUUAAUGCCUUUGCUUCAGUCUUUACUAAGAAGGUUGAUGAUGACCAGAUCUUGGUCUGCAGAGUUCCCCAGUGUUAAUAACACUGAAACACUGUGUCCAUCCCACAGGGCGUGCCAGAGGUGAGCGGAACGACGCACAGUGUGAGACUCACUACAACUUCAUUUAUGAAAGAGCUCGGCCCUUUUGCAUCUCAUUGACCUGCUUGAAAACAUUGUUUCUUUCUGAGGGUUUUUUCUUUGAGCAUCCAAGGAAAGGUAAUAGAAACCAGGCAGCCUUCCAGGGAGAACGCUCCCCACUGGACGCGAGGGGGUUGACUCUGAUUUACGCUUUGUCAGUGUAACUACGUCGCUCAGAGGUGUGGAAAAGCCAGAGGAGAAACUCUUCACUAAGCACUGCAGUGGCUCAGCUGCGCCGAAAGAGGAGGCAAGCCCUGAACUACUGAAUCCACUGAGAUGUAGAGGACUUUAAAUUUUCCUAUGCUACAGAGAGAUGCAGCAAAGCAGACAUGCAAUAGAUGAGAGUCCCGGAUGGGGGGUGAAAUGCACCAUGAG